AAUCAUAAUGGCCGAAAAUCUAAGGUUUCUUGGGGAAGGUUCGUCCGCCCAAGGUUAGUCGGGAGCUAAGCUCAGGCCGAAAGGCGUAGGCGAUGCACAUACGGUAGAAAUUCCGUAACCACCGAACAUUUAAGCUAGAGGGACGCUUUCUUUAAGGUUAUCCCGGGCGAUGGUUGCCCCGGGCGUAAGGGACCGAAAUAUAGUAGGGAAGUAACUGGCGAGAGAGACGAGAAAAGCUCUAGUGUAUACUAAGGUGCCCGUACCGCAAACCGACACAGGUAGAUGGGAUGAGUAUUCUAAGGCCAACGGGAGAAGGGUUGUUAAGGAACUCGGCAAAUUGGCCCCGUAACUUCGGGAUAAGGGGCGCCUGCGAGAGCAGGCCGCAGUGAAAAGGCCCAAGCGACUGUUUAGCAAAAACACAGCUCUCUGCUAAAUCGAAAGAUGACGUAUAGGGGGUGACGCCUGCCCGGUGCUGGAAGGUUAAGGGGAGUGCUUAGCGCAAGCGAAGGUGCGAACUUAAGCCCCAGUAAACGGCGGCCGUAACUAUAACGGUCCUAAGGUAGCGAAAUUCCUUGUCAGGUAAGUUCUGACCCGCACGAAUGGCGUAAUGAUUUGGGCACUGUCUCAACAGCCCGCCCGGCGAAAUUGUAGUACCGGUGAAGAUGCCGGUUUCCCGCAACUAGACGGAAAGACCCCAUGGAGCUUCACUGUAGCUUGAUAUUGGAUCUCGGUAUUCCAUGUACAGGAUAGGUGGGAGGCUAGGAAGCGAGCGCGCCAGCGUUCGUGGAGCCAACCUUGGGAUACCACUCUUGGGAUAUUGGGAUUCUAACCUGCGACCAUGAAUCUGGUCGGGGGACACUGUCAGGUGGGCAGUUUGACUGGGGCGGUCGCCUCCAAAAGAGUAACGGAGGCGCUCAAAGGUUCGUUCAGCACGGAUGGAAAUCGUGCACUGAGUGUAAACGCAUAAACGAGCCUAACUGCGAGAAUGACGGUUCGAGCAGUAACGAAAGUUGGAGUUAGUGAUCCGGCGGUAUGUGAAUGGAAAUGCCGUCGCUCAACGGAUAAAAGCUACCCUGGGGAUAACAGGCUGAUCUCCCCCAAGAGUCCACAUCGACGGGGAGGUUUGGCACCUCGAUGUCGGCUCAUCGCAUCCUGGGGCUGAAUUCGGUCCCAAGGGUUUGGCUGUUCGCCAAUUAAAGCGGUACGCGAGCUGGGUUCAGAACGUCGUGAGACAGUUCGGUCCCUAUCUGUCGUGGGCGUAGGAUAUUUGCAAGGAGCUGUCCCUAGUACGAGAGGACCGGGAUGGACGCACCUCUGGUGCACCAGUUGUCACGCCAGUGGCACAGCUGGGCAGCUAUGUGCGGAACGGAUAAACGCUGAAGGCAUCUAAGCGUGAAGCCGCCCUUAAGAUAAGAUAUCCCUUCUGUUUACAGAGUAAGACCCCUUGAAGACUACAAGGUUGAUAGGCUCAAAGUGUAAGCACGGUGACGUGUUUAGCUAGCGAGUACUAAUCGGUCGAGGGCUUAACCUU
rnacentral:rRNA from 1 species